GACGAACGCUGGCGGCGUGCUUAACACAUGCAAGUCGAACGAAGUGGCGAACGGGUGAGUAACGCGUAAUCAACCUGCCCUUCAGCGGGGGACAACAGUUGGAAACGACUGCUAAUACCGCAUAUCUCAGGCGGGGAUUGCGUCUGAUUAGCUAGUUGGAGGGGUAACGGCCCACCAAGGCGCUGAUCAGUAGCCGGGCUGAGAGGAUGAACGGCCACAUUGGGACGGAGACACGCCCCAGACUCCUACGGGAGGCAGCAGUGGGGAAUCGUCCGCAAUGGACGAAAGUCUGACGGAGCAACGCCGCGUGAGUGAUGACGGCCUUCGGGUUGUAAAGCUCUGUUAAUCGGGACGCGGUACCGGAAUAGAAAGCCACGGCUAACUACGUGCCAGCAGCCGCGGUAAUUC
rnacentral:rRNA from 1 species